rnacentral:lncRNA from 1 species
CCUAUCAAAGGACGGCAACCAGCCUUGAAUCCGUUUUUGCAGCCACUUAAGCAUAUAUACAUUCUAUCAAAGGUAACUUCACCAUCUGGUUGGGGGGUGGUGCAUAUUUGUACAGUGGAACCGGGAUUAGUCUUCAACAGCGUCAUACCAUAAUCCCUAACCAUCCUAUAUUGUUCUUUCUCAUCCCCAUACACUACACUUCUUGCAUCCAUUAAUGCCCUGGAUAUUGAGUUUUUAUUCAGAG